rnacentral:lncRNA from 1 species
AGGCACUGCAGACACAGCUGCUGCGGAAGGAGACAGUCAAAGCUUCCAAGGAAAGAAAUGGCCAAGAUUUGAGAGAAACCUGGCAGCGUCCCCAAGCCUGGCACGGGAUCGCCUCAGACGCACUCGGCUGCUCCGGAGGCGGAGCGCGAAGCAUCGGACCCGGCGGGCGGAGCCAGGCCAGCGGGGCGCAGCGCAACGCCUUCCGCCAGGGCGUCUGGCGCCACCUACCGGCGACCGCGAAACUUUCCACCGAGCGGCAGUUGCUGUGACCGCCUGGGCAUCCAAUGGCAAUUAAUUGGAACAGACUUGAUAAAUGAACUGUGGAAGGGAGCGCUGUGUUCAUGACUAGGUGCCUCCAUGGUCGUGCAUAGCAGACCGGGCGCUUUCCCACCCACCUGCUUAUGCUGCCACAGUGAACACAAAUUUACAUACCUGGAAGAAACAAGACUUUCUGAAGCAUUUGCAAAAAAUGCAGGAAAUCUGUCUGUCGUGGCUAAAACACCCCCACUGCUCCGUUUGGCAUCGUUCUCGUUCAUAUUCAAAGCAAUUGACAGUGUUUCCCCUGACUAGCUGUGGCAAUUAUCACACUGGUGGUAACUGAAAUGGCUUUUCUAAUUCUAGAACCCGGGUUCCAUGAAAUAGCAAAGAAGAAUCCCCCACUUAAGGUAUAGGAAUGUUUAGCGUUUUUAGAAUAAAACAAAACGGAAACU